GAUACACAUACAAAACUAUCUGAACUAAAGUAUAAUCUGGGACUUUUACCGUCUAUCUGUACAUGAUUGUUUCUUCAUUGCUUCAUUGUAGGUGAGAACGUUAUGCGAGAAAGUAAAGGAAAUUCUAAUGGGUGAAAGCAAUGCUCAGUUCAAAGGUUUUGGGAAAGGAGUGCUUUUUAAUCAGGCCAAUUGGGUCCUCCUGGCAAUACAAUGUCGAAAAUUUUUAAAUCCGAGUCCGAGAGAUUUGGCAAGAUGCAAAUAAGUUGUGAUUGGUAAGUCAACGAUGCUGACCGAAGAUUUACGGAGUUGAGUACCAGGAUGAGGAGACUAGGAAUGAGUUUUGGCUCUUAAUAAUUGCUGCUCUGUUGCUUGGAAUUAUCAGUGCUUUCAGUUCGACUUCAACAAUACUAUAUGUGCAUCUUGAAUU